rnacentral:lncRNA from 1 species
GAGGUACAAUUCAGAGUAUUAAUUAUAUCUUACAAUGUUAUUAAUAUUUAUAAUUGCAUUACACACUAUUAUGCGGUUAGACGCCAUUAUUAUGAAGAUUCCAAACGUUAUAAAUAAUGUCCGACAACAUUUAUUUCACAUCCUAUGUUGAUAUUCCUAUGGAUCUGCCCUUGGAAAUGGCGACAUUUUCCAAAGAUUCUCUCGAAAUGUAUGUUCUUAGAAAUUUUUCUUGAAUAGAUGAAAAAUACGGAAGGAUGAAGCUCCAUAUUGAAGGGAAGCAUCUCAAGUAUGUGUGUCGAAUCAUUUUUUUAUUUCUUGAUGGGAACGUUAAUGUCCAAAAUUACCGUUUGGUUGUUAGUAUACUCAUUAUCUGGAAACCGGCCUUACUUUGAGGACAAAUAGAUUUAUUUAUAAUCCAUCAAACAACCCUAAUAAAUGUUAUAAUAGAUCCAUUUAAGAGGCACUGGAAGGUUUCAAGAUAUUUCUUAAAAACUUAGUUGAAUAAUUAUAGCAUUUUUAUUCCUGGAUGGUUACCUUCUCAAUUGGACUUGAAGGCUGUUAGUUUUUCAAAUGAUAAAAUACAUCUUAUAUCAGAAAUAUUUUCAAUAAUGCCAGGAUUUUGGUUAUGAAGGAUAUUGUAAAAAUACAUUUAUAAAGUAGUAGAAGGCAGCAUGUCUACAAUUAUGAAUUAUGGGAAGAUGGAAUGGCGUUUGCCAUAUAUCUUACGAUCAUUUGGAAACAUUAACCUCCUUGUUUAGGGAGUCUAUCCUAAAAAAAUGAUUUGGGUUGUGUUCAAAUGGAAAGAAAAGACUAUAAAACACGAGUCAGUUAUACUAAAUAUAAUAGGGGUGAAGUUCAAUUACUGUCACUUUUCGAAGGCUAAGUCCAUAUUCAUUGAUUUGAAGAGGAAAGACUCAUUUUCUAUUUUUAUUUUAUAAUCAAUUUAUUUGUUGUUGAAGACGAAGGAGGAGGAACAUCGACCAUCAUAUACAUGUUUGACGAUGCCGAACAAGAAACUUGCGAGACAUGUUCCCUUUUAUACUACGAAAUGAGGUAUGAUAGUUUUACUCCUCCAUUUGAAAUUGAAUGCGACAACUAUAGGUGGUGAUUUCUUUCAAUAAUAUAUUUUUUUACUGCUUUUCAGAGUUCAAAAAAAGAAAUUCAUUGUUAUGGGCCUUUUAGCAUACAUUGUAAUGCUUGGGAAAGUGGAUAAAAUCUAUGUUCACUUUAUAAUAGAGAAUCAUUCCAAGUUUUCUGCUGAUCAGAACGUUGAAAUGAUUUAUUAAUCUUUAAAUAAUCAGCAAUGAAUAGAUGGCAUUGAUGACUUAAUUGAAGUAGUAAGUAAUACGACUCCAAAAUAGUCUGCAAAGCCUACAAACCAAGAUAGAGUUGAAUUGUUCAAUUGGGGGAAAAAUAUAUGUGAAUACUUUAGUAAGAUAAAGAAAAAUAUAUAUAUAUAUCAGGUAGUUAUGUUCUCCACUCACUGAUCAUCCUGAAAUAGGUAUAAUGAAUGAGUGGUCCAACAGUAAUGAAAUCAAAUCUUUAAUGCUAUGGAAGAAUUGCAUUUCUUCUAAGGAAUUAACAAUUAUUAUUCCUGAAAACUAUUUACGUGAAGAAGCUCUUUUAACAGAAGAAAGUAAAUAAUAUCUUGAAAGAAACAUAGCUCCUCUGGUCUAUUAUGAGAACAAGAGUAAAACUUUUCUUAAAGGACUUAAGGAGCACACUUUCUCGUCUCCCUUAAAUCCGUUUUCUACAUCAAACUCUCUUUCCACUCCAAGCUUUCCUCCCACUUUUAAUAUGCUUUAUACAUUAAGUUUGUUUUCCACCUAUAAUUCUCUUCUUACUUAAAGUUCACAUUUUAGCUCAAGUAAUUUUCCUAAUUCAAGCACUUAUUCUUCCUCAAACUGUUCUCCUACAAAAGUCUGUUUCCUGCCUCCAACUCCCCUCCUACCACAAAUCCGUUUCUUAGCUCGAGUCCUCUUACCUUAACUCUGUUUUUGACCUCAAGUCUCUCUCCUAUUUGAAUCUGUUUCCUCCCUUAGGACCACCUAUACUAAAUUAACUUCUUUCCUCCUCAUUAUCAGGAGUUAAAGAAAGAUGCUUCAAUUAUAUGGGUGUUCCUUAUAUUAAGGAUAUUUAUGUAAUCAUGUGCGAAAAUAUAGAUGGUGUAAAUUUUGUUUAAACAAGUAUUUAAGACAGUCUUGUAAAAAAAAUCAUAUAUAAAAUCAUUAAUAAAUAGUUGAAUCACUGUUAUCUCGAUA